rnacentral:rRNA from 1 species
UGAGGAAUAUUGGUCAAUGGACGAGAGUCUGAACCAGCCAAGUAGCGUGCAGGAUGACGGCCCUAUGGGUUGUAAACUGCUUUUGUUUGGGAAUAAUCGACAUUACGUGUAAUGUUUUGCAUGUACCAUUCGAAUAAGGACUGGCUAAUUCCGUGCCAGCAGCCGCGGUAAUACGGAAGGUCCAGGCGUUAUCCGGAUUUAUUGGGUUUAAAGGGAGUGUAGGCGGUUGGUUAUGCGUGUUGUGAAAUGUAGAUGCUCAACAUCUGAAUUGCAGCGCGAACUGGCUGACUUGAGUACACACAACGUAGGCGGAAUUCAUGGUGUAGCGGUGAAAUGCUUAGAUAUCAUGAAGAACUCCGAUUGCGAAGGCAGCUUACGGGAGUGUUACUGACACUUAAGCUCGAAGGUGCGGGUAUCGAACAGG